rnacentral:tRNA from 1 species
GAGGAUAUAGUUCAGUAGUAGAGCACUUGCCUAGCGUGCAUGAGGCCUUGAAUUCAAUUCUCAGUACCAUUA